CACGGCGCUGCCCGCCAAGAGGGCCGAGUACUUUGACUCGUCGGAGCCCGUCCAGAACCGCGUCUACAAGUCCCUCAAGGUCUGGUCCAUGCUGGCCGACUUGGAGGAGAGCCUGGGCACCUUCAAGUCCACCAAGGCCGUGUACGACCGCAUCCUGGACCUGCGCAUCGCCACCCCCCAGAUCGUCAUCAACUACGCGCUCUUCCUCGAGGAGCACGGCUACUUCGAGGAGAGCUUCAAGGCCUACGAGCGGGGCAUCGCGCUCUUCC